rnacentral:rRNA from 1 species
GACAUAGGUGGCGAACGUUAUCCGGAAUUAUUGGGCGUAAAGGGUGCGUAGGUGGUUUAACUAGUUAUCGGUGGGAAAUCGGGGCUCAACCUCGUGGAAGUCGGUAAUACUGUUAAACUAGAGGGUCGGAGAGGUUAACGGAAUGCUAUGUGUAGCGGUAAAAUGCGCAGAUAUCAGGAGGAACACCGGUGGCGAAGGCGGGUCUCUGGGCCGAUACUGACGCUGAGGAGCGAAAGCGUGGGGAGCGAACAGG